rnacentral:rRNA from 1 species
CCUACGGGAGGCAGCAGUGAGGAAUAUUGGUCAAUGGGCUUACGCCUGAACCAGCCAAGUCGCGUGAGGGAAGACUGCCCUAUGGGUUGUAAACCUCUUUUGUCAGGGAGCAAUUUGCGCUACGUGUAGCUUUCUCUAUAGUACCUACAGACAAAGCAUCGGCUAACUCCGUCCCAGCAGCCGCGGUAAUCCGGAGGAUGCGAGCGUUCUCCGGAUUUAUUGGGUUAAACGGGUGCGUAGGCGGAAUGCCAAGUCAGCGGUAAAAUCGCGGGGCUCAACCUCGCUCCGCCGUUGAAACUGGCGGGCGUGAGUGGGCGAGAAGUAGGCGGAAUGCGUGGUGGAGCGGUGAAAUGCAUAGAUAUCACGCAGAACUCCGAUUGCGAAGGCAGCAUACCGGAGCCCAACUGACGCUGAAGCACGAAAGCGUGGGUAUCGAACAGGAUUAGAUACCCUGGUAGUC